GAUGAACGCUAGCGGGAGGCCUAACACAUGCAAGCCGAGCGGUAUUGUUUCUUCGGAAAUGAGAGAGCGGCGUACGGGUGCGGAACACGUGUGCAACCUGCCUUUAUCUGGGGGAUAGCCUUUCGAAAGGAAGAUUAAUACUCCAUAACAUAUUGAUUGGCAUCAAUUGAUAUUGAAAGCUCCGGCGGAUAGAGAUGGGCACGCGCAAGAUUAGCUAGUUGGUGAGGUAACGGCUCACCAAGGCGAUAAUCUUUAGGGGGCCUGAGAGGGUGAUCCCCCACAAUGGUACUGAGACACGGACCAGACUCCUACGGGAGGCAGCAGUGAGGAAUAUUGGUCAAUGGGUGCAAGCCUGAACCAGCCAUCCCGCGUGAAGGACGACUGCCCUAUGGGUUGUAAACUUCUUUUGUAUAGGGAUAAACCUACCCUCGUGAGGGUAGCUGAAGGUACUAUACGAAUAAGCACCGGCUAACUCCGUGCCAGCCGCCGCAGUAA
rnacentral:rRNA from 1 species